CGACUGGCGGCUGCUAUACAUGCAAGUCGAGCGGACCGACGGGAGCUUGCUCCCUUAGGUCAGCGGCGGACGGGUGAGUAACACGUGGGUAACCUGCCUGUAAGACUGGGAUAACUCCGGGAAACCGGGGCUAAUACCGGAUGCUUGAUUGAACCGCAUGGUUCAAUCAUAAAAGGUGGCUUUUAGCUACCACUUGCAGAUGGACCCGCGGCGCAUUAGCUAGUUGGUGAGGUAACGGCUCACCAAGGCGACGAUGCGUAGCCGACCUGAGAGGGUGAUCGGCCACACUGGGACUGAGACACGGCCCAGACUCCUACGGGAGGCAGCAGUAGGGAAUCUUCCGCAAUGGACGAAAGUCUGACGGAGCAACGCCGCGUGAGUGAUGAAGGUUUUCGGAUCGUAAAACUCUGUUGUUAGGGAAGAACAAGUACCGUUCGAAUAGGGCGGCACCUUGACGGUACCUAACCAGAAAGCCACGGCUAACUACGUGCCAGCAGCCGCGGUAAUACGUAGGUGGCAAGCGUUGUCCGGAAUUAUUGGGCGUAAAGCGCGCGCAGGCGGUUUCUUAAGUCUGAUGUGAAAGCCCCCGGCUCAACCGGGGAGGGUCAUUGGAAACUGGGGAACUUGAGUGCAGAAGAGGAGAGUGGAAUUCCACGUGUAGCGGUGAAAUGCGUAGAGAUGUGGAGGAACACCAGUGGCGAAGGCGACUCUCUGGUCUGUAACUGACGCUGAGGCGCGAAAGCGUGGGGAGCGAACAGGAUUAGAUACCCUGGUAGUCCACGCCGUAAACGAUGAGUGCUAAGUGUUAGAGGGUUUCCGCCCUUUAGUGCUGCAGCAAACGCAUUAAGCACUCCGCCUGGGGAGUACGGUCGCAAGACUGAAACUCAAAGAAUUGACGGGGGCCCGCACAAGCGGUGGAGCAUGUGGUUUAUUCGAAGAACGCGAAGACCUUACAGGUCUUGACUCCUCUGACACCCUAGAGAAGGGCUCCCCUUCGGGGCAAAUGACAGGGGGGCAUGUUGUCCUCACUCCGGCCUGAAAGUUGGGUAAUUCCCAACAACCCAACCUUGACUUAUUGCACCUUCUUUGGGCCUUUAGGGAUGCCGGGAAACCGGAGAAGGGGGGGAGGGCAAAUCUG
rnacentral:rRNA from 1 species